UCGACGCGCCGACUUCGCGCACCUCUUGAUUUCUUAUCAUAAACUGUCGCGUCAUUGCUUGCGCAGUUGGCGGCUAGUUCGUGCCGGUCUCUGAUUGUUGCGGACGUGUUUCUCGCGACUCGUAUCGUUUGUCCGAACUUCUAUUUCCAAAUUCGCAUUAUAUUCGUUCAUCAAUGAUCUAUUUAGUUUUAACUUGCGACUAUAGUAAUGAUAUUUAUUAUUUGUGCGUAAGUGUCGAGUUGCUAGGUGAAUACAUUUAUUUAUCAUUAGGAUGACCCAUCGUGCUGGUUAUUUGCGGUGUCUAGGAGUCCGAUGUGUCCUGCAUUGGGAUUUUGCACUUGAGUCUGACAUUGUAGAAGGACUAUUCUGGCAUCAGAUUUGAUUUUGCACCUGAGUCUGACAUCGUAGAAGGACCAUUUCGAUAUCAGGUUGU